AUUGAACGCUGGCGGCAGGCCUAACACAUGCAAGUCGAGCGAGCGGCGGACGGGUGAGUAAUGUAUGGGGACUGCCCGAUAGAGGGGGAUAACUACUGGAAACGGUGGCUAAUACCGCAUACUGUAUGAUAACCCAUAUGGGAUUAUCUAGUAGGUGGGGUAAAGGCUCAACUAGGCGACGAUCCCUAGCUGGUCUGAGAGGAGGAUAAGCGACACUGGGACGGAGACACGACCCAGACUCCGACGGAGGCAGCAGUGGGGAAUAUUGCACAAUGGGCGCAAGCCUGAUGCAGACAGGCCGCGUGUAUGAAGAAGGCCUUAGGGUUGUAAAGUACUUUCAGCGGGGAGGCGUUACCCGCAGAAGAAGCACCGGCUAACUCCGUGCCAGCAGCCGCGGUAAUAC
rnacentral:rRNA from 1 species